UUUACCAAUCUACAUCAGAUCCUUUGGAUUGGACUCCUAUCGACAAGGUUGGACUUGUCAAAUUAUUUCAAGAUAAAUGUUAUUUUUCACAAGGACAUGCCAAAUUGUUUAUUUAAUUUUUCUUUAAAUAUUUUAGGAGAAUCCUUAUCAUAAUUAUAAUUAUUAUGUAUAAAAUUGAGGCUUUGGAAUUUUUUAGAAUGGAUUUUCAGAUGAACUUUAUUAGGGUGCAAUCUUCUGCAACUUUAAGCCAAAAUAAAAGAAAAUCGAUUGACUUAAAUAUAACAUUUCUGACUAUUCCAAAAACUAAUCUCGUUUGAAGCUUGCUGUUUUCCCCUACUUGUCAUGGGGUCUUAUGUGAUCUAUUUCGUGGGUUCUAGUAUGUUAAUGUUACUAUGUUGAAUAUUGGACUCAUUUCAGUACAAUUCUGAGUUCAUGCACUUUUAUGCUUUAUCCUUCUUCUUCAAAUGCUUUGAAUCACCACACAGGAAUCCAAUUACCCUCUUGCAACUUAGUAUCACUUGAGUUCGGAUCAAACAUGUCUCAUAGGGAAAAUUCCUUCAUGCUUUGUUAGUCCUCAAGAACCUUCGUACUGAUUCCUUCUUCAAUGUAUCUCUGAACUAUCCACCUCAUAAUGCAAAUGGCUCCAUGAAUACAUUCAGUGUUGCCUUGGUCCCUCUAUUGCAGAACGGUUUGGAUUUAUUUUACCGGUCAUCAUAGGCAAUUUGUGAAGAAAGGACCGCCAAAGCACUGCCAUAGACCACAACGUUAUGUUUAUAAAAUGGCAGUAUUUUGGCUUUCUGCCAUCAGUCUUUACCUCCAACCGACCCAUGUUUUCAUUGGUUUUUUCAGCUGACUUGAUGCUACUUGCUCAGAUCCAACAAUAUGAAUGACUUUGAUUUACAAUAUCAUUGUGAAAUUUGUUUCCUAAUAUUUCCCAAUAUGACUCUUUUCCUAAUAUCAUUGUGAACCAUAUAAAUAGGUCUUGUGUUCUGUUUUUCUUGUUUAGGUAAAUCUAAAAAAACAAGUCAAGUCGAAAUUUGGGUUGAAAGAAAAUAGGUAUAUCACGUUUUGUUCAUUAAUGACUCGAUCUUUUGGAA